rnacentral:rRNA from 1 species
UGAGAAUGCCGGAAUGAGUAGCGAGAAUUAUGUGAGAAUCAUAAUGGCCGAAAGCCUAAGGUUUUUGGAGGAAGGUUCGUCCGCUCCAAGUAAGUCGGAAGCUAAGGUGAGGCUGAAAAGCGUAGCCGAUGCACAAACGGUUGAAAUUCCGUUACCACAGAAAGAUUUAAACUAAGGGACACUUUUGAAGAGCUGAUGCCGGGUGUUGGUUACCCCGGUCGUAAGGGAACGAAAUUAAGUAGUGAAGUCAGCGUGGAUGAAGGCGAGAAAAGCUUAGUGUAUAUCUUAUGUGUCCGUACCGCAAACCGACACAGGUAGGUAGGAAGAGAAUUCUAAGGCCAACGGGAGAAGGGUAGUUAAGGAACUCGGCAAAAUGUCCCCGUAACUUCGGAAUAAGGGGAGGUUUCUACGGAAACCCGCAGAGAAUAGUCCCAGGCAACUGUUUAUCAAAAACACAGCUCUAUGCUAAAUCGAAAGAUGACGUAUAUGGGGUGACGCCUGCCCGGUGCCGGAAGGUUAAGAGGAGGAGUGAGAGCCCUGAAUCGAAGCCCCGGUAAACGGCGGCCGUAACUAUAACGGUCCUAAGGUAGCGAAAUUCCUUGUCAGGUAAGUUCUGACCCGCACGAAUGGCGUAAUGAUCUGGGAGCUGUCUCAACUGCCCGCCCGGCGAAAUUGUAGUACCGGUGAAGAUGCCGGUUACCCGCGACUAGACGGAAAGACCCCAUGGAGCUUUACUGUAGCUUAAUAUUGGAUUUCGGCAUUUCAUGUACAGGAUAGGUGGGAGACUAGGAAACAUAGGCGUCAGCUUAUGCGGAGUCGUCCUUGGGAUACCACUCUUGGAGUGCUGAAAUUCUAACCUGCAGCCCUGAAUCGGGUUGGGGGACAUUGUUAGGUGGGCAGUUUGACUGGGGCGGUCGCCUCCAAAAAGGUAACGGAGGCGCUCAAAGGUUGGCUCAGCAUGGAUGGAAACCAUGCCAUAGAGUGCAAACGCAAAAGCCAGCCUGACUGCGAGACUGACGGGUCGAGCAGAAACGAAAGUUGGAGUUAGUGAUCCGGCGGUAUGUGAAUGGAAAUGCCGUCGCUCAACGGAUAAAAGCUACCCUGGGGAUAACAGGCUGAUCUCCCCCAAGCGU